AAGUCGUAACAAGGUUUCCGUAGGUGAACCUGCGGAAGGAUCAUUAAAUGAAGUAACCUAGGAGCCUGAGAUAUGGCCACCGGGCACACCUUCCACCCUUUGUUUAUUACACUUUGUUGCUUUGGCAGGCCUGCCUUUGGGCUGCUGGCUCCGGCCGGCGAGCGCCUGCCAGAGGACCCAAACUCUGUUUGUCUGUAACGUCUGAGUACUAUAUAAUAGUUAAAACUUUCAACAACGGAUCUCUUGGUUCUG
rnacentral:misc_RNA from 1 species